CUCUCUCUCUCUCUCUCUCUCUCUCUCUCUCUCAGUCUCACCAGUCUUUCACGGUCUCACCAGUCGCUAAGGCAACUUUUUUCACUUCAAUGAUUUCUUGCUUUCUACUGUUAGAUCUGUGAUUAUUCUUCUGAGAAAAGCUGAGUGAUUGAGUCUGUUUAUGGAGAGAGAGCGAGAGACUUGAGCCUCGAUGAUGCUAUAAAGCCUUUUAAAGCAUUUUGAAAAGAGGCUGGUAGGUGUGGACGUCUCUGCAUCGAAUAUUGUAAGAGGACGGUCGAUUGGCAGUACAUAGUCAAGCUCCUAGUCCUCUCAUAGUCCUGUGCAGAUGCCCACACGUAAACAGUUAUACACUUGGAAUACUUUGAAAACCCUUCAUACCCUCAUUACAGAUACCAAUACAUGAACAGAUACAUGCCGUAUAUGCAUCCAUACCACUAAAAUAUUAUACUUUUCCUUACGAUUGGAUACACAAAAUACUUUUGUAUGGCAGGGCGCGACUUGGCGUGGACUCACAUUUGUACGACAUAAUGCAUGAGAACUAGCGGGGAUGCUCUAGAGAAAUUUCUGGACAAAAUUCUGAGUGGAUCACUUGAUUUAAUUUUCGUUUGGAAAUCAAU